GGGCCCUCACCCAGCGCCAGGAGACGUCUCUGGGCCAGCGUCACCCAGCCAGGAAGGGGCGAGUCAGAGUCUGCCCUCUCAGUUCUCUUGGAUCCCAAACUCCUGGCUCUUUCCUGCCUAGCCAGCUCCCCUCCGGAAGGAAACUCUGCCCAGAAACAUGCCCGGUUGGCACUGCUCAGCCUGGGAGGCUUGGUCGGCCCAGAUCCUGUGAAUGCCGCCCACACUGCCCUUCCUCUGGGCCAUAAAGACCCCCUCCUCUCAGCCCUACCUGACCCAGGCAGGUGAAACAGCGAGACCACCCGAGGCCAAGGAUUUAUCUACCACUCUUCUCUGAAUCAGAGUUCUUCUGCAUGGCUGGCAUUCACCAAAGACAAGGCAGCAGCUGGAGAUCAGCUCCAGCUCCGCGCAUUUCUCGUUCUGUGAUACAAGCCGAAGGAGAAGCCACUAUCUGGGACAAGUCACCUGGUGGUUGAUGGCAAACAGCAGGCAACAGGUGCCCCCAAGCAGCAGCACUGGCAGCUCCAAUUUUCUUCUCCAGAAACUCCCCACAGCAUCUCAGCAUCAAGUCGCCACAGCGUUGAACUGUGUGGAUUCCUUACUGAUGAGCUCCCCGGGAAGUCCACGUGAACAAAAUGUGUUGUUCAGUCGCUCAGUCAUGUCCGACUCUUUGUGACCCAUGGACUGCAGCACGCCAGGCUUCUCUGUCCUUCACGAUCGCCC